AAAGACUUGUCCAAUGGGUGCACAUUGUGUGAGCAUAAAAGGAGUGACGGAGUCAACUAGGGGAAAGACAGAGAGAAGAGAGCCGAGUAUCUGAAGGGGGUUUACCCUACAACUGACCAGAGGAGCAGCCGCUUCAAGUUAGAGCAGCGACCGCUGGUGUCUUACCUAGGUGCUACUUGGAGGCGAGGAGAAGAACCAAAAUCAAGUAGACUAAUACGUAGGAGACCAGUUCCGAAGUUUGGGAUCGGUGACACCAGACCUAGCUCCGCCUAACCUCAACGUCGUGCCUGACGAGCCGCGUCACCAAGAGAGUCCGCCUCAUCCUAUGUCCGGAAACAUUAGCAAUAACGUCGGCCUGAAGAUGGUGACACUCUUCAACCAGCCGUUCUGACGUAACCUGCAGUUCAACAUGUAACUACCACACAGAAGCAGUCCUCAACUCAACGUACAGGCCGGCAGCAGAAAUAGUAAGUUCAUCUCAAAGAGCUCGGUUAGUAGUCCGUGUUUACAAGAUAAUUGAUUAAAACACACGGUUUCGACUACAAUGAUAGUAACUCGAACUUAGUUUUUUAUUCAGAAAAAGGUGUCCGAAGUAGACGCACUCGUUAGGUUGCUGUAGACAUAUAAACCUCUAAUUAAUGUACCGACUAUGUUUAUAAUUAUCAAGUUUCGGUAUCCAUGUUGAUAUUGUAUGGACGCGUAACAUAUAUAAAAAGACGCGCAAGAACAUCACAAAGGAACCAACACUUUGACUUCAUUUUUAGACCCCUUUGGAGACGCCUAGGAAAUUGGAGGAAAUGGAAACACAACAUACGUUUUUUAUAAAUAAAAGUAACGAGCAACCUGCUGUGAAACAUCUAAGG
rnacentral:rRNA from 1 species